rnacentral:rRNA from 1 species
AGCGAACGCUGGCGGCAGGCUUAACACAUGCAAGUCGAGCGGGCAUCCUUGUGGUGUCAGCGGCAGACGGGUGAGUAACGCGUGGGAACGUGCCCUUCGGUUCGGAAUAACUCAGGGAAACUUGAGCUAAUACCGGAUACGUGCGAGAGCAGAAAGGUUUAUCUGCCGAAGGAUCGGCCCGCGUCUGAUUAGCUAGUUGGUGAGGUUACGGCUCACCAAGGCGACGAUCAGUAGCUGGUCUGAGAGGAUGAUCUGCCACACUGGGACUGAGACACGGCCCAGACUCCUACGGGAGGCAGCAGUGGGGAAUAUUGGACAAUGGGGGCAACCCUGAUCCAGCCAUGCCGCGUGAGUGAUGACGGCCUUAGGGUUGUAAAGCUCUUUUCUCCGGGACGAUAAUGACGGUACCGGAGGAAUAAGCCCCGGCUAACUUCGUG